GUUGGUGAGGUAACGGCCCACCAAGGCGACGAUCGGUAGCCGGACUGAGAGGUUGAACGGCCACAUUGGGACUGAGACACGGCCCAGACUCCUACGGGAGGCAGCAGUGGGGAAUAUUGCACAAUGGGGGAAACCCUGAUGCAGCGACGCCGCGUGGAGGAAGAAGGUCUUCGGAUUGUAAACUCCUGUUGUUGAGGAAGAUAAUGACGGUACUCAACAAGGAAGUGACGGCUAACUACGUGCCAGCAGCCGCGGUAAAACGUAGGUCACAAGCGUUGUCCGGAAUUACUGGGUGUAAAGGGAGCGCAGGCGGGAGAACAAGUUGGAAGUGAAAUCCAUGGGCUCAACCCAUGAACUGCUUUCAAAACUGUUUUUCUUGAGUAGUGCAGAGGUAGGCGGAAUUCCCGGUGUAGCGGUGGAAUGCGUAGAUAUCGGGAGGAACACCAGUGGCGAAGGCGGCCUACUGGGCACCAACUGACGCUGAGGCUCGAAAGUGUGGGUAGCAAACAGGAUUAGAUACCCUGGUAGUCCACACCGUAAACGAUGAUUACUAGGUGUUGGAGGAUUGACCCCUUCAGUGCCGCAGUUAACACAAUAAGUAAUCCACCUGGGGAGUACGACCGCAAGGUUGAAACUCAAAGGAAUUGACGGGGGCCCGCACAAGCAGUGGAGUAUGUGGUUUAAUUCGACGCAACGCGAAGAACCUUACCAAGUCUUGACAUCCCUUGACGAUGCUGGAAACAGUAUUUCUCUUCGGAGCAAGGAGACAGGUGGUGCAUGGUUGUCGUCAGCUCGUGUCGUGAGAUGUUGGGUUAAGUCCCGCAACGAGCGCAACCCUUAUGGUCAGUUACUACGCAAGAGGACUCUGGCCAGACUGCCGUUGACAAAACGGAGGAAGGUGGGGAUGACGUCAAAUCAUCAUGCCCUUUAUGACUUGGGCUACACACGUACUACAAUGGCGUUAAACAAAGAGAAGCAAGACCGCGAGGUGGAGCAAAACUCAGAAACAACGUCCCAGUUCGGACUGCAGGCUGCAACUCGCCUGCACGAAGUCGGAAUUGCUAGUAAUCGUGGAUCAGCAUGCCACGGUGAAUACGUUCCCGGGCCUUGUACACACCGCCCGUCACACCAUGAGAGCCGGGGGGACCCGAAGUCGGUAGUCUAACCGCAAGGAGGACGCCGCCGAAGGUAAAACUGGUGAUUGGGGUGAAGUCGUAACAAGGUAGCCGUAGGAGAACCUGCGGCUG
rnacentral:rRNA from 1 species